rnacentral:lncRNA from 1 species
UAAAGUACAAUUUUAUUAUUAUUUAAAAUUUUAUCAAUUAUAAAUAUCUAAAUACAGCCCUGCCAACCCUAAUUCCAGUCCUCGGAGGUGCUAAACUCCUUCACUCUCUAGGAUUUAGGUUUUACUAUGAUUAUUUAUUAUAAGAUAUAGGUAAACAUUAGGUGAAUGAACAAGAAGGCCUGAGCUACCAAACAUUUAUUCUUGUUUUAUUUUUAUUUUCUUUUAAAUAAAAUUUGCCUUUUAAUUAUUUUUUAUUAUGAGUCACUAGAUUUAGCGUCGAUAAUUAAUUCAAUGCUUUAACCAUGAUGUAGUGACCCAUUUUUGCCUGGGGCCCAUGUGACCCAAACCCAACCAACCCAAAAAUAAUAAACAGUCAAAUACAUAGGCCCAAGUGGCCCAACCAAAAUUAACCCCAAUUACCCCAAAACCCCUAGCCCAAGCCUAACCUAAAUCCAAUUAGCCUAGCCCGGCUAAAGUGCAAACAAAGAAACCCUAGUCUGCUUCAGCGGCCGUUGCUGCCCCAGCCACACACACCCCAGUACGGCCGCCUGCGUACACGCUACGUCCGCGCCCCCAUGUGGCGUACCUGCAAGAAGGACACGCAAAUGAAAUACAACAGAAAGCAAGCCAAUGAGGAUUUUUUUUAUAUUUUCGUUGUUGAUUUUAUUUGAUUUUUUUCGGUUCUUAAUCGAAUAAGGAUAUAAGAACCAAAAAAGACCCUUUGUAUUGGUACA